rnacentral:rRNA from 1 species
GAUGAACGCUGACGGCGUGCCUAAUACAUGCCAGUCGAGCGAACGGACGAGAAGCUUGCUUCUCUGAUGUUAGCGGCGGACGGGUGAGUAACACGUGGAUAACCUACCUAUAAGACUGGGAUAACUUCGGGAAACCGGAGCUAAUACCGGAUAAUAUUUUGAACCGCAUGGUUCAAAAGUGAAAGACGGUCUUGCUGUCACUUAUAGAUGGAUCCGCGCUGCAUUAGCUAGUUGGUAAGGUAACGGCUUACCAAGGCAACGAUGCAUAGCCGACCUGAGAGGGUGAUCGGCCACACUGGAACUGAGACACGGUCCGGACUCCUGCGGGAGGCAGCAGUAGGGAAUCUUCCGCAAUGGGCGAAAGCCUGACGUAGCAACGCCGCGUGAGUGAUGAAGGUCUUCGGAUCGUAAACCUCUGUUAUUAGGGAAGAACAUAUGUGUAAGUAACUGUGCACUUCUUGACGGUACCUAAUCAGAAAGCCACGGCUAACUACGUG